AUUACAAGCUGUCUUAUCGCCUUCCGAUUUAUCGGGGGGAGGAAAGUCCGAGCAACAUAGAGCACCGUACCUUGAGAAACCAAGGGUCUUGAUAUAAUCAGGAACAGAUAGUGCCACAGAAAACAGGUAGCCAUGUUGAUCAGCUUGCUGAUAUAACACGGUCAUAGUGAAAAGGUGGGGUAAGAGCCCACCGUCUUGGAUAGUAAUAUUCAGGUGCACGGUAAACCUUUCGGGUUGUAAGGUCACAUACAUUUUUGCUUCCUCAGCUAUUUUGUAGCUGGGGAAUAAGGGCUGCUCGUCCGAAAAUCCUGAAUUAAUUGGGGUGGUAAAAAGGGGUAGACUGCGUUAGAUAAAUGAUAAGAGCGCUUUCAAAUUUAUUUGAGGGCGAACAGAACUCGGCUUAUAGGCUUGUAAUUUUU
rfam:Marivirga sericea strain DSM 4125 genome assembly, contig: LX91DRAFT_scaffold00005.5